rnacentral:rRNA from 1 species
ACCUACCUCGGAUCAGACGAGACUACCCGCUGAAUUUAAGCAUAUCAU